CUUGUCUUUGUUGGGUCAUUGUAUGCUGUCUCCUGGAGUUGCUGUGAGGUCUCCUGUUUGUCGUGUCUCCCGGUCGUGUUACCUUUGGAUCUCUGUUUGGACUACCUUAGUUUUUGGACUCUGUAUUCAGCCACUCUCCUUGGGCCUACAGACUGCACCUCUGGUGCCGCAAGCUGCUCUAAGGUCCCCUAAAGUUACCAUGUGUUAUCACAGGGGGGUACUGCAGGGAGGCUGGUGGUGGAGCUGCUGUAGACCAGCAGGAAGACACUCGGCUCCCCUCUUCUCCUCUGGACAGUAUUAUGGGUGAAUGAUUCAUUAAAAGUGACAUUAAGACUUA